rnacentral:rRNA from 1 species
UACGAAGGGGGCUAGCGUUGUUCGGAAUUACUGGGCGUAAAGCGUGCGCAGGCGGCUUCUCAAGUCAGGGGUGAAAGCCCAGAGCUCAACUCUGGAAUUGCCUUUGAGACUGAGUGGCUUGAGUACGGGAGAGGUGAGUGGAAUUCCCAGUGUAGAGGUGAAAUUCGUAGAUAUUGGGAGGACACCGGUGGCGAAGGCGACCGACCUGG